CAGAGUUCAUGCCCUUCGGGGUAGAUCUCCCACCCUUGUGUAUCAUUAUAGAAUGUUGCUUUGGCGGGCCGCGUGCCUAGCACGCCUGGAUUCGCGUCCGGCGCGCCCGCCAGAGGACCCCUAAACUCUGAAUGUUAGUGUCGUCUGAGUAUUAUUAAAUAGUUA
rnacentral:misc_RNA from 1 species